rnacentral:rRNA from 1 species
CCUACGGGAGGCAGCAGUGAGGAAUAUUGGUCAAUGGGCGCAAGCCUGAACCAGCCAAGUCGCGUGAGGGAAGACGGUCCUAUGGAUUGUAAACCUCUUUUGUCGGGGAGCAAAAGACGCCACGCGUGGCGUUCCGAGAGUACCCGAAGAAAAAGCAUCGCCAAAGUCCGUGCCAGAGGCCGCGGUAAUACGGAGGUUGCGGGCGUUAUCCGGUUUUAUUGGGUUAAAAGGGUGCGAAGGCGGAAGAUCAAGUCAGCGGGAAAAUUGAGAGGCUAAACCUCGUCGUGCCGUUGAAGCUGGGGUGCUUGAGUGAGGGAGAGGUAUGCGGAAUGCGUGGUGUAGCGGUGAAAUGCAUAGAUAUCACGAAGAACUCCGAUUGCGAAGGCAGCAUACCGGCGCUCAACUGACGCUCAGGCACGAAAGUGUGUGUAUCGAACAGGAUUAGAUACCCCAGUAGUC